rnacentral:tRNA from 1 species
GAGAUCGUAGUUCAAUUGGUUAGAGCAUCGCCCUGUCACGGCGAAAGUUGCGGGUUCGAUUCCCGUCGAUCUCG